rnacentral:lncRNA from 1 species
GAGAUUUUAUAAUCUCACCCUUUUUUUUAUCCCAUCAUUUCAAGCCGGGUUAGCCUGUAGAUAGCAGACAUUGUCGAGAACUAUAGUUGGCCAUACUAUUUCAAAAACUAUAGGUUUACUGUCUUUACUACUUUUGUUCAUUUGUGAGCCCAUGUAGCACUGUAAAUUAAAUUUCAUACUUUGGUUUUCCGUAUUAUAGCUUGUAUAAAUAUAUUUAACUUUUAC